rnacentral:ribozyme from 1 species
ACAUAUGGCUAUUCUCCUCUUCACUUGUGUCUAUAUAUUGUGAUAUAUUUAUUCCUGUGCUGGAUUGCCCUGUGUCACAGCGAUGUGAUACUUAGCACUGGGUGAAUUCAAGGAAAACCUAAGUCUUAAUUGAUAUGGCAACCCUGAGCCAAGCUUUAUUGAAGGUGCAACGCAUAGGAUUUAUUCCCACGAGCGCCCAGCAACUCUAGUAGUUGAAAAGAUAUGCUGAACUGUAUGGAAACAUGCAC